UACGUAGGCAGCGAGCGUUGUUCGGAGUUACUGGGCGUAAAGCGUGCGUAGGCGGUGUCUUAAGUUUGUUGUGAAAUCUCCCGGCUUAACCGGGAGGGUGCGGCGAAUACUGAGAUGCUGGAGUGCCGGAGAGGUAAGCGGAAUUCCUGGUGUAGCGGUGAAAUCGCGUAGAUAUCAGGAGGAACACCUGCGGUGUAGACGGCUUACUGGACGGUAACUGACGCUGAGGCACGAAAGCGUGGGUAGCAAACAGG
rnacentral:rRNA from 1 species